CUUCUUGCAGAUCCGGAAACUUCAAGGAAGCAAAGAGAAGCGUAUCAUAUCAGGUCGCCGCUCUGAAAUUUUCUUGCAAGAUAUUUGAGAUCUUUCCACGUUUUAUAUCAGGUUCAAGCCAUAUACACCUUCUCUCUCUGUCUAUUUCUUCCGUGUUUUGGUAGUUUUUCUUUCUUUUUCUUUUUUUCUGUUUCUUUUUCUCUCCAAUCUCCGAAAAGGAAGUACCUGGAAAGUAGACCUAUUAAUUGGAUAUUCAUCUGAUUUUUAACGAUCGGAGGAUAACUUCGGCUUCAUAUUGCUCUAAUCGGUGAAAGAUCUGACGGUUAGUUAAAUCAUCGACAUGAGCCGUCCACAAGAACCACACCAGCCUUUCUUCCAUUUUGGGAAUCCUUUCCGAAGGUUAUCACCAAAGGGUCCUUAUCUGUCUCGAAAGCUUCUCUCACUGUUGAACAAUUUUGAGAAAACCUUGGCAGAGAGGCUGGAAAAGCUAAACCCAAAUGACAAGGAAGAAAUCCUUAGCUUGUCAUGGAUGAAAUCUGCAAUGGAGUCACUUUGUGAAACUCAUAAUGACAUUAAUGCACUCAUAACCGACCUUGAUCUCCCUGUUUCUGAUUGGGAUGAGAAAUGGAUAGAUGUGUACUUGGACAUCAGUGUGAACUUGCUUGAUAUAUGCAAUGCAUUUAGCUCUGAGCUAUCCCGACUGAACCAGGGCAACCUCUUGCUUCAGUGCCUGCUGCACAAUUUGGAAUCCACCUGUGCAAAACCCUUUAUCCGUGCCCGUUCUUCCCUUGAUAGCUGGAGUCGUCAUAUCAGUUCAAAGAACUCCAGAGUUGAAAACUGUUGCACCAUUUUGGACAAGCUUGUGGAGUCCAUUGAUCUUCCCAAGGUUAAGAAUUCAGCCAAGGGGAAGGUUUUGAUGAGUGCUAUGUAUGGGGUUAAGGUGGAGACGAUAUUUGUCUGUAGUGUCUUUGCAGCCGCCUUCUCUGGUUCUCCGCAAAAGUUGCUAGAUUUGGAAGUUGCUGACAAAUAUGCAUGGGCACAAGCGUUUACCGGUCUGCGGACUAGCAUUAAUGGGGAAAUUAGAAACAUGUUGGUGGGUGAAAGAGUUACAGCUUUGAAGGAGCUUGAAGCGGUUGAUACAAGUGUCAAGAAAUUGCAUCCCAUGAUCCAAGAUGGGGAUGAACCCGUUGAAGCAGAAGCAUUCAAGAAUUCUGUUUCAGAUUUGGCAAUGAGAGGGGAGAAACUUUCACAAGGACUAGAUCUUCUUACAAAGGGAGUGGAUAGCUUUUUCCAAAUAGUUUUAACUGGGCGUGAUGCUCUGCUUUCUAACUUAAGAUUAACUGGUACUGACUCUGACACAAAGGUUGGGGGCAACGUAUUAGAACGAGUUUUGAGUCGAUGAAGUUGGAACUAAACCGUUCACGGCAUUUAGAUGGGCUUAGGUGUGGGGUUUUCUGUUUUCUUAUUACUGAUGAUAGUGUACCAUCUUGUUUUGCAGCUUUUGGUCUUUGUAUUCAGUAUGGUGUGAGUUGCAAGUGGAGAUGUGCCUUGAGUAAAAGCAUAUUUGCAUUUUCGUGCAAUGCCAGAAUAUGAGACAAGUAAAAGAUCCGACUCGCGGAGAAAUCAGCUUUGGACCAGGUAUAUCGAGUAACCUUUAUAUUAAAACCUACCAAUUACCAUAUGUAUUCCCCAAGUCUGAUGUUGGAAGAAAAUAAAGGGAAGAAGCCAGCAGCCACGGGGAGGAGAGGAAACCUGUCAUCAAUAUUUAUUUUUAUUCAUUAGAAAAAGACGACUACCAUAGAAAAUUAGGUUUAAAUAGAAUUUGGACUGUAAAUAAAACUCGAUUCCGAUUCGUUAAUUAAAUAAAUUGUUUUAUGGAUACUAGGUUAAGAUCGAUUAUUAAAUGAUACGAUUCAUGUAAAGUUCAAUUUGACUUGAACAAAUUCGAAUAAUUUUAUUAUUUUCUAUAGUAUUAUGUUCAAUGCUGUAACGAGAGUAUAUUAAAUAUUGAAAAAUAUAACAGAUAAUCAGUUCUCAAUACCAUAGUUAUUCUAUGGAUAAAUUUAUAAGAAUAAUUUAAAUAAUUUACAUGUUCUCCACUGGGUUGCAAGUAGAAUGACUCGUACAAUAUUAAGGAGCUCAUAUGGAGGCGUUAUGUUCAAACCGGGUCCAACUCAUUGAGGAUAAUCGGCUCUAUACGCUCACUUAGAUAGAGAAACCUGAUGACUUGAACAACUGAAGUAAUUGUUGGGUCAUCAAAGAUAGAAAACUCACUGUUAUUCCUUCUUUUAACUCAUAUCUAUCAUGCAAAUUAAUCAGAAACGCAAUUUAUCUCAAGUUCAAAUCCCUGAUUGCUGCUGCUGUGAGUUUGGACUUUGGUCUCUUCCCCCACUUCACUCAGCAGUAAGUUGAAAUCUCUAUUAAUGUACUGGAGAUUAUUCUUGGUCACAAGCUCUAAACAGUAUGAUUUUGAAGAUCUUCUGUGUUUGAAAUGGUAGAUGUGGAUAUAAAGACUCGCUGCCAGGCUGAGCUAAUCAUCUUUUCUCAUAUCUUUGGGGGUGAAAACCUCUGAAUCUGUAUGUAUUCCCUCUGUUUAAGCUACUUUCUUUGCAGUAUGAUUUUUGUUAACACCUGGUACAUACUGUCAUGCACGAUUCAUUGUUUUCAAUAGCCAAGAAUGCUAACCCUUGGUCCUGGACACAGUAUAUCAUCAUCAUCAUCAUUAUUUCCUGUUAUUAAGAAUAAUUGCUCCUGUUAUCUUGCAUGAUUUAUACACAACUCACUUGGGCAUGGGGUCUUUCUGAUAUGAUUGUGCAAUUUAUGUAUAUUCUGAAAACAUUAGUUCUAUAGCUAAGCUUAAACCAUGAAGAAACCAGUCUUCAAAUGAUUUGUUUCCCAACUUUUACUAAUAAUUAAUAAAAGGAUGCAUCUAAAUAGACAUCUCUCGGCUGUUUUUUCUUCUUGUCUCUGUUGGCUAGCAACAAUCUAGCUCUACCUUAUAGAUAAGACUAAUUAAUACUUUUGCUGGUACAAAUCAAGCAAAGCUCAAGCAUUUGUUAUUGUAUAUGAACACUUCUUGAAGUUUACCCUAUCGAUGGCCAAGCUAUCCGCAGGAAAAUCACAUGCCCCAAUCUUCUCCGGCCCUUGAUCAGGCAAUGAACCACACGGCGGAGGACUCACGCCACUUGUGAUCCCUGCGACAUCAUUGCACAUCCACUGCACUUUUUUUGACUUAGCCGCCACGUUAAUGGUCACAUUCGAAAUACAAAUACCCGUAAAGGGAUCACCCGAAAUCCCUUCCAAUCUAGCCGCCAUCGAGACAUUCUCCGCCACCACAUCCCUGUAGUUGAUCCCUUUGACUUCAGGCAAGGCGUUCGGGUCGUAGUGACCAUCUGCAUGUGCUUUAUAAU